rnacentral:rRNA from 6 species
CCGUCGCACCUACCGAUUGAAUGUUUCGGUGAAGAUUCCGGACUGUGGCUCGCGUGCUUCACGGCGCUCUUGCCGUGGGAAGUUAUCUAAACCUCAACAUUUAGAGGAAGGUGAAGUCGUAACAAGGUUUCCGUAGGUGAACCUGCGGAAGGAUCAUUA